rnacentral:rRNA from 1 species
AAUUUUUGACAAUGGAGGAAACUCUGAUGCAGCGACGCCGCGUGAGCUAUGAAGGCUUUCGAGCUGUCAAGCUCUGCGACACGGGACGAUACAGACGGUACCCUAGGAGGAAGCCCCGGCUAACUACGUGCCAGCAGCCGCGGUAAUACGUAGGGGGCGAGCGUUGUCCGGAAUUAUUGGGCGUAAAGGGUUCGCAGGCGGCCUUUUAAGUCAGAUGUGAAAGCCCACGGCUUAACCGUGGUAAGCAUUUGAAACUGGAAGGCUUGAGUUAAGGAGAGGAAAGUGGAAUUCCUAGUGUAGCGGUGAAAUGCGUAGAUAUUAGGAGGAAUACCAGUGGCGAAGGCGACUUUCUGGACUUAUACUGACGCUGAGGAACGAAAGCGUGGGGAGCAAACAG